AUUGAACGCUGGCGGAAUGCUUUACACAUGCAAGUCGAACGGCAGCACGGACUUCGGUCUGGUGGCGAGUGGCGAACGGGUGAGUAACAUAUCGGAACGUAUCCAAUAAUGGGGGAUAACGAGUCGAAAGAUUCGCUAAUACCGCAUACGCCCUACGGGGGAAAGCUGGGGACCUUCGGGCCUGGCGUUAAUGGAGCGGCCGAUAUCUGAUUAGCUAGUUGGUGAGGUAAAGGCUCACCAAGGCGACGAUCAGUAGCUGGUCUGAGAGGAAGACCAGCCACACUGGAACUGCGACACGGUCCAGACUCCUACGGGAGGCAGCAGUGGGGAAUUUUGGACAAUAGGCGCAAGCCUGAUCCAGCCAUUCCGCGUGAGUGAAGAAGGCCUUCGGGUUGUAAAGCUCUUUCGCAAGGGAAGAAAACUUAGCCACUAACAUUGGUUGAGGUUGACGGUACCUUGAUAAGAAGCACCGGCUAACUACGUGCCAGCAGCCGCCGUAA
rnacentral:rRNA from 1 species